rnacentral:rRNA from 1 species
UAGGGAAUAUUGCACAAUGGACGAAAGUCUGAUGCAGCAACGCCGCGUGAGUGAAGAAGGCCCUUGGGUUGUAAAGCUCUUUAGCCUGGAAAGAAGUGCCUGUGAGUGAACAAUUCACAGGUGUGACGGUACCAGGAGAAUAAGCACCGGCUAAUUUCGUGCCAGCAGCCGCGGUAAUACGAAAGGUGCAAGCGUUACUCGGAAUUACUGGGCGUAAAGCGCGCGUAGGUGGUCUUGUAUGUCGAUUGUGAAAGCCCAGGGCUCAACCUUGGAAUAGCAGCCGAAACUGCAAGACUUGAAUGUUGGAGAGGGUGGGGGAAUACCUAGUGGAGAAGUGAAAUUCGUAGAGAUUAGGUGGAACACCAGAGGCGAAGGCGCCUACCUGGCCAAACAUUGACGCUGAGGCGCGAAAGUGCGGGGAGCAAACAGG